rnacentral:lncRNA from 1 species
GUAAGAACCAACUCCUUGUUAAAUCAGGCAAGAAGACGUGAAUCCAAAGAUAAGUCCUCUGGAGACACAAGUCUGAGGAGCACAAUGACAAAGAACAUUCUUCCGACAAAGGAAGAGAGCGAUUAAAUUCAUCUGAGAAUGGUGAGGACAGACAUAAACACAAAGAAAGGAAGUCAUGAUGGGGCAGAAGUCACUCAAGGUCUAGAUCGCGUGAAAGGCGCCAUCGCAGUAGAAGCAGGGAAAGGAAGAAGGGAUCGGAAAAAAAAAUCUCCAUCCAGAAGCAGAGACAGGAAGAAGUCAAGAUCUAGAAGCAGAGUUAGAAAACUAAGAAUCAGUACACAUUCCCAAUCAAGAUCCAUACACAGGCAUGGGACUAGAAGCAGGAGCAGAUCAAGGAGUCGAAGUCGAGAUAGAAAGAAGAGAAUUGAAAAACCAAGAAGAUUUAGCAGAAGCCGAAGCCGGACACCUAUUCCACCUUCCUUCAGAGGCAGAAACAUUAGCUGGAUGCCAAAAAAGCAUUAGAAAGGGCAAAGAAAUUAUAAGAACAACGAGAAAAGGAAAUGUUGAAAAGCAG